rnacentral:rRNA from 2 species
GCGUAGCCGACCUGAGAGGGUGAUCGGCCACACUGGGACUGAGACACGGCCCAGACUCCUACGGGAGGCAGCAGUAGGGAAUCUUCCGCAAUGGACGAAAGUCUGACGGAGCAACGCCGCGUGAGUGAUGAAGGUUUUCGGAUCGUAAAACUCUGUUGUUAGGGAAGAACAAGUACCGGAGUAACUGCCGGUACCUUGACGGUACCUAACCAGAAAGCCACGGCUAACUACGUGCCAGCAGCCGCGGUAAUACGUAGGUGGCAAGCGUUGUCCGGAAUUAUUGGGCGUAAAGCGCGCGCAGGUGGUCUCUUAAGUCUGAUGUGAAAGCCCCCGGCUCAACCGGGGAGGGUCAUUGGAAACUGGGAGACUUGAGUGCAGGAGAGAAAGAGUGGAAUUCCACGUGUAGCGGUGAAAUGCGUAGAGAUGUGGAGGAACACCAGUGGCGAAGGCGACUCUUUGGCCUGUAACUGACACUGAGGCGCGAAAAGCGUGGGGGAGCAAACAGGAUUAGAUACCCUGGUAGUCCACGCCCGUAAAACGAUGAGUGCUAAGUGUUAGAGGGGUUUCCGCCCUUUAGUGCUGCAGCAAACGCAAUUAAGC